CUUUGCGGGCCCGUCCCUCCAGCGGCGGCCGUAACCUUCGCCAAACCUUGCGCCCGCCCGCCCCGCCCCGCGCGCGCCACGCCACUGGCCCGCGCGCCCGUCCGUCAACGCCGGCCCCGCCCGCAGGCCCCUCCCCCGCCGGCGGCUUCCCCGCCCGGGCCCCUAAAGGACAAUGCUGGAGGGGAGGGGGCGGAGGCGCCGAGCCGGGCGAGGGCAGCGCAGGGAGCGCCCACCCGCCGGCCGGCCGGCCCCGGGAGCCCCGCGCCGCCGCCCCGGGCUCGCGCCCCGGCCCCACGCCCGCUCCCCGCCUCGCCUCCCCCAGAGAGCCGCUCCCAGCGCGGCGACACCAGCCCAUUGUGCGGACUCAUCGUCCGCCGCGGCCGGGCGCCGGCACGGCGGGGAUGCCCCGGACGCGGCUCCCCCGGCCCGCAGCCCACCGCACGCCCGGGCCCUGCGUGGGGUCCCGGCGGGGCUCGCGGCCAGGCGGGGCGGCCUGGCUUCUCUGAGGCCGGCCCCGGAGCCCCGGAGCCCCGCGACGGCGGCGGCGGCGGCCCACCCGGCCCGCGCCCGCCCGGCCCGGAGCCGCCGCCCUGCCCGCCCCGGCCCGUCCGCGGUACCUGCCGAGCGGCCGGACGGCGCGGCGGCCGGGGGCGCCUCCUCUCGCCGCGAGGGCUCCGAGCGGCAGCCGAGCGCCGGCGGCCCUGGCCUGCGCCUUACGUAAAGCGGCGGCGGCUCCGGCGCCACUCGGCGGAGGGCGGGAGGCGGCGCGCCGCGGCCGCCCCGCUCCGUUACCCGGCAACUGGCCUCAGCGCCCCGCCAACCGGGCGCGCUCCAUAUCCUUCCGCCCAGGCGCCGGGAUUACAUCAGCGCCGGCCGCCCCGCCCCGGCCCCGCCCCGCCCCGCCGGCCGGCUGCGAGUGGGCGGGCCGAGGGCGCGCGGGGCGCUCCGGGUCGAGCCCUGCGGCCGGACCUGGGUGUGGGCGCUGCUGGGAGGCUGAGGGCGGGAGCCCACCCAGGGUGCGGGGCCUCGGAGAGGAGACUCCCCCUGCGGAGGGGCGCGUGGGGCUGCUCUUUGCAGAAGCGCCUGCACUCCGCCGCCGCCCCUCCCCUCCCCACCCCCGGCCAUCCCCAGCCCGCGCCGGGGGAGGGGGCUCGACUUGCACCGCCCACCCGCGGCGCGGUGCGGGCCCCCGCCCUCCUAGGCGCGCGCUCCACCUGUCUGCGCCCCCUCCUUGCGGCGUCCUGGGAUGGCUGGAGUGGGCGGUUUAAAAUGAAGGCUUUAAUUUUUUUUUUUUUUUUUUUUUUAGGGAAACGCAGAAGACAAGCUAACGAAAUGUGA
rnacentral:lncRNA from 1 species